GACAGCGGGGGCGAGCGUUGUCCGGUGUCACUGGGCGUAAAGCGCGCGCAGGCGGCAACCUUAGUGUCGUGUGAAAGCCCCCGGCUCAACCGGGGGAGGCCAUGGCAAACUGGGUCGCUCGAGCUGCGGAGAGGCCCCUCGAAUUGUCGGUGUAGCGGUGAAAUGCGUAGAGAUCGGCAGGAAGACCAAGGGGGAAGCCAGGGGGCUGGCCGCAGGCUGACGCUGAGGCGCGACAGCGUGGGGAGCAAACCGG
rnacentral:rRNA from 1 species